rfam:Cyanobium sp. PCC 7001 scf_1106012173546 genomic scaffold, whole genome shotgun sequence.
CGGAGUCACUAGGGGUGCCCGUUCAUCGGCCGAUUCGGCAGGUGAUCGAAGGGCUGAGAUCACACCCUCCGAACCUGAUCCGGGUCAUGCCGGCGCAGGGAAGUGAGAACGAACUCCA